GGGCACAGUCCAGGUAUCAAGCUGUAGAUAAUGGCGCCUGGUCAGCUAACAGCCCUGCUGGGAAGGAGAUAUUGGUCUAGGUGAUUUGCACAGGAUAAAGCGGGCUUCUUAUUAGAAGACCUGAAAGCAAGGUGCCUAGACCAAGCUGGGAAAGCCAGAGGAUGAACAAGUGGUUGGCAGACAUCAAUAACUAAGAAUACGAGCUGAAUUCUCCAAAAUCAAAGCACCUCCAACUUGGUUGCGGAUGGCCAGGUUCCUCUUCUGCAGGUGGUGAUUCUCUUCGCUCCACUGCUGCGCACCUGAAAAUUUAAAGGCCCAGCUUCGGUGGAAGCUACAGAGAGAGACUCCCAAAGUGUUGGCACAAAAGGCCAGUAACACUCUGGGUCCACCAUGGAGCCCUCGGUCCUCUUGGGACAUUUCACAGCCAGGCGUACAGUCUACAGAUACUCUGUUAUGCUGGUUCAAGCUCCGCUAGGAAGAGUCUCU
ensembl:lncRNA